AUAUUGAGUUACUUUUCUGUUGUUUUCAGUUGUAUUUGGGUAUCCAAUAUAAUAUCUAAUAUGAUUUAAAAUGUUGUUUGUGUCCUAAUUGCUUAUAAACUUUUUUCUACUAUCACCAAAACUGAUGUGGGGCUUGUGCACAAGGUUGAUACAUACGGUAGGUAGCAGAAAGUAUAGGAAGAAAGAUUCUGCUCUGGUAAUGAAAUGCUUCUUUCCACGCGCUUCUAGCACGCAAAAACAACAUAGCGAGAUGAGGGUUUUCUUGCACUUUGAAAGUGCUGAGUACGAUUUUUUUCUUCUUUCGUAUUUCGAUAGUUAUUAACCAUCUAUCCAUAGCUGCGGUUAAUUUCUUUGAAUUUGUAGUUUCGACAUGACGUUUUUUUUUAUUUUUAACCAUCGCACUCUCCUGCGAAAAAUACAACUAUUUAUUUCACGUGUUUUCUUUGUCAAGGACGGAGGAGAGCGGUCAUAAAAAUAUUUCAAUCAUUAAUCAAGCAAUUUAUGUAUACAAAAAGUUAUUUGUUAUAUAACGAAUAUUUGCAGUCUAAAGUUAUCGUCGGUUUUUAAAUUUUGUUUCCUUUCGAUAUUCUACAUUUUGUGAGUGUUAAAUAAAAAAAUAGAACACUGUUGUCAAAGUGUAUACGAAAAUGGUGUCCACUGGCAACUGGCUUAUCCUUAAUGUAAUCGUAGAAUGUUGUUUCUUUGUUAUUGCAGCGAAGUUUGAAUCGCCAGAGGAGGCGGCUUCUAACAAUUGGCUAUAUACUGUAUCCUAUCUGUGUUUAUUUCUUGGUUUGUGUCACACAUUAUAUGCAAAACAACAAGAAAAAUAUGCAGCCGAAAUUGAAAAAAUAAAAUUGACCAAUCAGCUUCAUUUUGUAAAAGAAGAAUUAAAGUUCGAACAGUUGAAAACUGAGAAUAAACAUUUGCUGGAAGAAUUAAAUGUUUUGAAGAAAUUUAAAAGUAUUCAAUGUGCUUCUGUGUCAACCAUGACAACAGACGACAACAUCAAUGGUGAUAACAAGAUGCAACAAGAGGACAGCGCAAACUUUGCCGUCCGUGUAAAACAAAGACGUACGCAUAGACGAAAUACAUCAGCUUGUAGUGGAAUUUCCUUUGCCAGUGAAAAUGAGGACCUAACGGCUUUUAAUACCGUCAGAAAUAGCCUAAACAGUGUUGGAACUGCGACAGCUGUAAGUCGUUAUCUUAGCUCGCUUCCGGCUGACGGUAGUUUUGACACGUCUGUUCAAGACAGCGGUAUUGACAUCUCUUCUGAUUUUAAUAAUGACACUUCUACGCAACUUCUAAGCACAGCAAUAGGAUAGAACUUCCGAACUUAAUUGUUGUUAUUUUAAAACGUCUAUGGUCAAGUUCUUUCAGACAGAUUAUGUAAACAUAUGAUCACGUCGGCGCUCUAAAGUAACAACGAACUACAGUAAUUGAGAAUUUGGAUAAGUGGGACAAAGAAGAAAAAGCUUCGCCUAUGUAGAACUCCCAGUGCAAUGGCUUCAAGAUAGAACACAGAAAAACUUGAAUUCGAAUACACUAUUGAAAAAAGUAUAAACACUUUAUUCAAACGUAGAUCUUUUCGUGUGCGGAUCGAUCGUGGAACGUCAGCAGGAUGUCGCAAGUUGUACACAAACAAAAAUUUACUUCAACAACUCUAGGCAUUCAGUUGUUGUUCAAGUUACGUGAGACAUAUGAUGAGAGAAUUCAAAGUUUCUUUUGACUAAUUUUCAAGGCGCCAAAUGAAAGUUUCAUUUCAAAUACCACUUAGUUUGGUUCAUGCACACUCUCAAGUAAGCAUGCGGUCAUCCAGUACGUUUAUUUAUUCAUUAAUGUAUAUCUGAAUUUUGUAUAAUCACAGUACAAAACAGUUUUGGUUGAAAUUAAGGCAACAAGUUUGGUUGGAUGAGACCAAUCCUCGAAAAUGAAACGAACCAAAUCCAAUUUAUUAUCAGCGUUUUUUAAAUACUUCCUCCACUGUUUUGUCCGUUUCUGCUCUCUUCGAUCAAUUUUGACGCGAAUACUUCCCGACAUCCCUCGUCUUGAUCUUUCAUAGCUCUUGAUCGAAUUAACAAUAUACUGAUCAGUUACAAAGUACACUUUGGAUCCUUGGCAUUUGAGGAUUAGACGAAAAUAAAACUCAGAGACAUCUCCAAAAGUAGCGAGCUUAACAUUUUCAAGCUGUUGGAAGAUAACCAUGUCAUGUAUCCGUCAUGUAUCUUCGCUGAUUUCCGUGGAAAUUCUUGUGUGACGAUGGAGGCUGAUGAUUCGAUUGCACCCAAAAAUUGUAACGACAUUGCUCAAGUAUACAUGAUAAGCGUUGAGAUUGAAAUUUAGAAAAAAUUGUGGAAAACAUUAACGUUUAUGGUGGGAUGGUUUACCGUUUUACCUAAUAGUUUCGACUUCACCGUUUUGACUAAACCUCCAUCGGGUAGACCACGAGACCAUGGUAUGGGACCGAGAGAUAACAAUAAAACGUGUUUUAGCGAUAUCUCCGGUCUACUUUUAGCAAUAAUAAGCAUUCUGGCAAAAAUGGUUCUUUCAGCUGCAAUUGUUAAAGACUUUUCUUUAAAUUUGACCGUUUCUUUCAUUUUUAGGUCGUGGAAGGUCUUCAAGGAAAGCCGGCUGAUUGGAGCGUAAAAUGACAUGAAGGAUGACUUGAUGUAAUCUGUGAGAAAUAUAUUGAAAGCUCUUUCGCUUUUCGCCCUUGCUUCCAAUAAGUCAUUUUGUACUUCUUUGGUCGCUUCAACACCGGAACAAAGAUUUACCAACGUUUCUUUUUGCUCAAAAGGAUCACUCCAGCCCGAAUUCUGGAUGGACCAAGAUCUCUCGGAACUAAAGGUUUAUUAUGUAUGCACAGGUCAUCUUCUAGUCUGGAAGCAGAAGAGGGCGCGACGUGACUCGUGAAUACCCAACGUUGAACCGUCCCAGGGGAUGUGCUGUAGUCCAAUUCGGGAUUGCUUGGUUUUCAGCAUUUUUUUGCAUUCGAAAAAGAAUCCACAGAAAGUCAAACUUCCAUGAAACGCUGAAGCUAUGACACUCUCUAUUAUCGAAGUUAACGUUUGACAGGUGAGUAGGGUCUGUCCUUUUCCCGCUUAAGUAAGGUGUCAUGGUUGUUGGUAACACAUGGAAUGGUCUGCAGCUGCAAUUGAUUGUGUCGGUCACUAUUUACUUGACGAAGCUGGAUAACAAUUCCAUUGGUGCAGUGCAUAGAUACACCAGUUAGUGAAUCACGGUUUAUGUCAUUGUUGUCCCAAACAAACGUAAUAAAAGAUGAUGGUUGCACAUAAGAUGGACAAUAAUUUUUUAGGUAUUGAUUUUGCAAUUCGUCGUUAGCUAGAGCUGUUUCUAAAAAGGCUGUUUCAUCGUAGGAAAUGACAUAACAACAACGAUUAAGCCAAAGCAUGAGUUGCUUUGAACCUGUUUUACGUUGUGUGCAAAGAGAAAGAAGAGUGUGCUUUGAUGUUCGAUGUAUCCCAUUAGUUACGCUAUAAAUGAUGUCCUGGAUUAUCGACUGGACGAUUCGUCUUUUCUUUUCAGAUAUUCUCGAGUUCCUGCUUGUUACCAGCGAUGUUAUUAAGUUGUCGAGUAAUGGAGAUAUUGAGGUCUUAUUUCUAAUCAGUUCAUAUUCUUUUGAUGGCCAUUGUUCAUAGGUUAAAGGCAUAGUUUUUAUCUCUCGGCGUAUUGCUGUUGCAAUGCUGCCAAUAACCUUCUCUUGUGUUGAUAUUUGUUAACUUUCUUCCAUUUUUCGUAUUUUACGUGACAUUAUGUCGAUAAUCUCUCCCUUUGGUACAUCUGAAUUGAAGAAGAAAGAGUGUACACCGUCUUUUGGUAUCCAAUGCUCUAUACGUUCACCAAAAUGUUCCAAAACUGCGUUUGUAAGGAUUCUUACUUCGACUGUAGACGGUUCUUCGCACAAAACUUUGUAUGUUUCUACUAACAUGUUAGAAUGCAAAAUCUCUUUAUUAACAAUAACGUGCUAUUCGACAAACUGAAGCAAACGGUUGAUAUUAGUUGUUUGUAGUUUGGUUGCUGUAACCUUGUGCGUUGGUCUUGUGUAGUCGCGAUAAUAACUUUUAUGGUAUCGCAAUCCCAUCGCCACUAUAUUCUUUCACUCUAUCCCGGCAACGUGCACAACUAAUCUUGGAAUGUCGUUUUUGUGCAAAGCAUUACCUUUAAGUUUAUUAGCUGCAUCUUUAGUGAGACAAAGCUGUGGUUUCUCAUAGCCACUUUUCGAUGUAUUGGUGUUUCGUUUAAAGCAUAUGCAACACUCUUUAUCAGCAAUAAUUUCACCUGUGUUAAAAAGGGCGGUAAUAAAUAACAGUUAACAAAAGUUUAUAUGCAUUCGAUUAGUGUGGACAAGACAUAAUUAUCAAAAAAGUCUUCGUGAAGGAUAAGGUGGGCAUUGAACACUGACAAACAGAGCACAUUUUUACAAUGAAGUUUUGUGUUUAGUGUGUUUACUAGGCUGUAAAAAUCUCUUUACCUGACAGAUUUCUCUUACGUCCGAUACACGUGAUUGUUGUAUUUCUGCGUCAGUGUUAACUUCUGAAAUAACAUCUCCUCUUUCGAAUUUUUGAAGUGUGUGUUUAUGGGUGUAUAAAUAGAAGCAUUUUUGAUGAAAUUUAUAUUAAAGAAUGCUGUGACUUUCCAAUAAUACGUGAAACACAUAAUCAUUGUAUACAGCCUCUAAAAACGUUGUUCCCGUGAACGAUAUUGCAUUGAUUGAUUGACACUAGACAUAAACGGUCACUUUGGAAACUUGAAAAAGUAAUUCCAUUAAUAACUGGCAAAGACAAUAAUGUACGAGUAUGUGCCGAAAUGUUUUACGAUCUGUAAACAGACCAGUAAACAAACUUUACCCUGUUGCACUGUCAAGUAAAAGGAUGCGAAUACGUGAAGAAGAGAAUUUUGAACAUAUACAGAUUGUAUUCAUAGAUGAAGAUGACAUUAUAGUAGUAAACCGCCUGUAGGGGGAAGUGUGGUUUUAAGACAUGAUAUUUAGUAUGUAUGUAUAUGUGUUCCGAAUGUGUGUUUGGUUAGUUGUGUUUUUAAAAUAUAUUGAGUUCGCACGUGUUGUUAGUUGGUA